UACACAAAAGCCCUGAGAUGAAAUUCUCCCACCUUCUCCCCAAUGUUCCUAGUCUCCAUACAACUCAGGAUAAAUCAGUGAAGAUCCUUUACUAAAUGUAAUACAUGGCAGGCUGGUUCUACAAAAGUGCUUUUUGGAAAUCAACACCUGAGAGCAACAGGAUUUAAUUAGGUGACAAGAACGUACACCUGGAACUUGGCCAAACGGCCCUCACCACACCUUGUAACGGCAGAAUGAGCUUUUAUUCUCUUGGCUCAGAGGGAUCAGGAGUAGCGUGCUUGAGAGUCUCAACUUCAAGCGGAGAAAUGUGCCAAGUGGACAACACUGGAUAUCGUAUACAAGCGUGAAAGAAGAUGAGAAGACUUCGCUGUUCUCCAGAUUUGCUUUGGUGUAUCUUGAAUGCCAGGAUAUAAAUAUUUGCAAAUGGGUGAUUUAGAGAAGCCAGUCCAACUAAAAGGAGGUGAGAGGAAACCGGAGGAAGCCUACACGGACACGAGGGAAAACAUGCGGAACUCAGUAACCGGAGCUCAGGAGCGAAUCAGGGACCCUGGAGAUGUGAGGCAGCAACACUACCUGCUGCACCGCCGUGUCAUGUACGUAAUAGUAUACUGAGCUACACAUUACAAUGCUGUUCACAGCUUUGAUAAAUCAUUCCCCUAAAAGGUUCAGGAACUCUAGGGAGGUAGAGCCCUAGCUCAAAUAGACAAGGUUGUUCGGGAGGAACGAGGUUAUGGGUCAAAAGGAAACCAGAGGUAUGCAUUUCUGGGUUAAUUGCUUUGCUUCAUGCAGAAAUAUUUACCCUUGUUCAGUCUCACGGCCCUGUCUGCCCUUUGGCCUUAGUCUGUUGCCUAAUGAUGAGAUGUGCUCUUAGGUGUUUAGAUGUUUAUUUGCAGACAUUUGCUUGUUGGAAAGUGUUUCAUUUGUGUCAUUCUUAGUUUGACUGAAUGCUUAGUGACUAGCGUUUGUAACAUUCCUCGUUCUUCUGUUUCAAAAUGACAUCGCACUUGAUUCUUGCCAAUAUUUUAAAAACUUGCAGAACUUAUUGUAUAUCUGAUAAUUUAAGAACUUUAUGUGUGUAUUGUAUCACACCUCAUCUGUAAAGCACUGCAUAAAAGUGUGUGUCAGCUAAUUAAAUACAAUAUUAAUUAUACUACUUCAGCCUCCUGGAGGUCCAGCGGCAGGAUCACGCAUUUUCACUGCCGCGGCCCAGGUUUGAUUCCCGGGCAGGGCGCUAAACCCAGCCACUGAAGUGUUAACCAACACGCUCCCAAGCCCGGAUUAAAUGGGAGGGUUGCAUCAGGAAGGGCAUCCGAUGUGAAACCUCUGCCAAACUGAAACAUGCGGACCAAAUGAUCUGCUGUGGCGACCCCAAAUUGGGAAACAACAACUAUACUACUCUGAAGCGGAUCGGUACUCACCUACUCAGACUGGAAUUGUUAAGAUGAAGUUAACAGCCCUGUUGUAUUAUCUAGCACAUUACAGUAAUGCAUAAAGAGACUACUGUUUAGUGUGCACUUUUUGUUUUGCCAAUUUAGUUUUUUGUCUAAUCUUGUCAUGAGUCUGGUGAAAUUUUAGUUGAGCUUCAGGUUUGAACCAUCAUGGGUGGUCUACUUCUUUACUUAAUGAGCUAUUUGUGCUAUGUCUGUAUGUGUGUGUGUGUGUGGGCAUUACUGUGUCUUUCUUUCAACACUGUUCAUCACUUUCUAAUAUGGGCACAUUAGGUGACAGCAGCUUCCCUGUUACCUGUCAGUCAAAAUUGAAACAUUAUCUUUCCAGAGAGUUUUUUUGUUCAGAAAAAUAUCAUAGGCUUCCUUUUGGUUACUGAGGUUGAGGUUUGUUAAUUAGCUGCAAGAAGGAUCAGCCUAACACAAGGCUCGAAAAGUAAGUGUGUGUGUGUGUGUGUUAUUGUAAAGGUACUAGACCUCAACCUAAUGGUCAAUAUGUGCAAAAAGCAAAUAUUUUGCUUUGCUAUUCACGGCCUCAGGCACUGGCUUAGCAAAAUGGGAGAGUAAAAAUAACAUGGAACGGAAAUCUGCAAUCCAAUGCCUUUCACCCUAUUAGCUAAACCCGUUCUGCGAUCUAGACGUGAUGGUUGAAACAGCUGUGAACGAGUAAAUAAAACAUGGAAAAGUCUUCCUCUGUCUGUCCUGGAGGGAUUUUGAAUGCCAAGUGCAGGACUUGUGGAUUUCAGUCAAUUCUCAUAUAACUGCUAUGACCUUUCCUUAUAGAAGCUGUGCAACAUCUUCUCAUAUUCCCAUAGAGCUACCAGGCCGUUCAACCCUGUGCUCCACUGACACAUCCACAGUGACAUUUAUUGACAAGCAGAAUCAGAAAUGUUACAGGAAAUUAGAAGUGUUUUGCUGAUUAAAAAUGUUUAUUCUGACAUCUUAUCAGUUGAGCUUAUUUUCUUUCUCUUUCUCUUGGGAAAUCAAAGCAUUUGAGUGACCCACUCAGUGUCCACCCAGGAAUGUCUGGAAUUUAUUUUCUCUCUCUGAUCACUGCAGGGCUGCAUGAGGGCUUGGGAAUUGUGGGUCAACUCCCAUACAUCCUGCACUAUCUUUGGACAACUUGGAAAUUCAGCUUUUGCUUUUGAACAUGUCCUUAAGACCUGUGUGGAAUGCAAAGGUUCUUAUCCUAUUCCAGCUCCGGUGCCCAUAUUAGGCACAUGAACAAUAUAUGACUGUUAGUGCCACUGAUCUCAGGGACCAGGAAUGUUGGCUUUUGUUAUUUUUGGCUGUCUUGAGCUUGAGCACACAUUAGCAAUAUACAUCAGCAUGCAGGUCUUAAAUGUGAAAUAAAGACUAAUAAAAUAAAAGAGAGGAAGACAUGGAGAGGGCUGGAAAGUCCAGAAGAAGAGGAAGGGUCAGGAAGUUUUACCUACUUGGGUGUUUAUUUUCAGCUGCUUGACUCACUUUAGUAUCACAAGAGUGUGAAGAAGACAACCUUUAAGGAUGUACUACACUUUCUUUUUUGAAGACCACUUAGAGUGUUUUAAAGUUAAAUCUAGCACUCUGAACACAACUUAACUUGUACCUCUGGGGGAAUCUAAAGAGUUCCAAUUUUGUUCACUAGGAACCUUUAACCUUGUGUUAUUUUUUUUUUCCAGGAGUGCAUUAGUGAGCCACUAGAGAAAACGUCUCCUCCAAUUUUCAUUACUAUAAUAAUUAAAGGUCAUAAGGUGGCAUGAUGGAGCAGCAGGUAGCACCGAUACCUCACAGUUCCUCGCAUGCUCUGGUUUCUUCCCACCUUUCAGCUAGGAGCUGUAUUGACUAAGAGACAUUGCCCUUGGUAUGAAUGUGUGUAUUCCUGUCUUGUGCCCAGUGUGACCAGGAUAAGAUCCAUCAUGACUUUGUCCGGGAUGAAGCACCUACUGAAAGGGGUUGGGUCAUUGAGACAGAUUUGACAGGUAGAUGGGAAACUACUUAGGAACUUACUUACUUAGUAGGAACUACUUGAAUAUUACUGCAAUUGUACUGACUUGCUUCAUACAAACAUUAGAUUCAUUUUGAACAGGGCGGAAGUGGACAUCAUAAACAAUCUUACAUGAACUGAUCCAUAGAUCUUUUUACCAAAGGAAUUCUCCAUAGUGGUGGUUAACUGUUUAAAUGAAUGCUGAAACUUCUAGGUUCAAAAGUUUUAUUGUAGUAGUUAUAUAUAUGCCAAAAAGCUUUAUUUGUGCUGUCAGUGUUAUCUCUUUACCAAUGUUAUUGUGGAGAGGUGUGAAGUCUUUCCCAUCACCCUGCUCACCAGCACCUAAACAAUUCUCUACAUACAGAAACCCAGCUGUGUCCUAGCAAAUCUCUUCACAGACUCAUGGUGAUAAAAAUAACUCAUUUGUUUACUGAUGGAAAAUGUCUGAUAAGUUUUUUCUAAAUCCACAAAAACAUUGCAUACUUUAAACAUUACAUACUUAGUACUUACAAAGUAUACAGCUUCUAACUCACAGGUUGCUAAACAAACAAAAAAAAUCCCCCAGAUAUGGCAAAACUGGACGUUAUGUUAUCCCCUCAGGACUUGUAGUACCAUGUUAAUUCAAUGAAUUACUGUAGUGAAGGAGAGUUGAUCUAGUCCUAAUAGCGUUAGGGAAACUGGGUUCUGGUUUGAGGGAUGAGAACAGCAUUUCAUCGUCAUGCAGCUCUUUGCCCUACUGUUUCAUCAAAAUGUUUGCACAGCUGUUCUGAUUAUCUUUUAGCUUUCUUUGAUUCACUUUCUCACAGCAAAGUUCAACCCUCCUCAUCUAGUUCUUUCAGUAGACUUGUAAAAUGUUGAGAAUAUGGGGUUUGAAUGUAGUUUUUAAACAUUUUUUUUUUAACAACUGCCUUUAGUGAAAGACUUAGGGACCAGAAAUCUGCUAUUAUGUGGGCAUGGUGUGUGUUAGGGGUAUUAGGGGUUGCAUGGGUUAGGGGUUGUAUAGAUUAGUCAAAGAAUGCGUUCUCUAGUGGCUACUUUGGGAAGUAGCAAAAUAGUUAGCAAGACAGUAAGAAGCUGGUGGAUAGCGAUGCUAAAUGCUAAAUGCACUGUUAGUUUGGAAAUAUUUUAGAAUAGAUGAAACAAAUAAUACAGACAAUUAUAGAAAACAUAUUCUUUUUCUUUAACGGUAUAUUAACACAGUGAUAUCACAGAAUGAAUCUAAGGUAUGCGCCCACUUGCACCCAUGUUUAAAGGUGUUAUAUUUACUGUCUGUUUCUUUUCAUAAUGGAGUCCAUUGUGACCAGUCAAUGUGUGAAAAAGCGCUUUUAGAGCCAUGGGUUGCAAUUCACUAUCCAUUCCCAAUCAGCUGGUUUAAGGUCAGAUCAGUGAUGCAAGCCAGCUCAAAGAGACCAAUCCAGAUGAUCAAAAAUCCAUUAUCAGAUACUACUCAAAUGGAUGCUGAUCAUGGUGGAAAACUUUCCGUUAUGCUGCUGUAGUCUUUCAUCUAUCAUUAUGCUAUAAGGGACUUGCCGAGUUGCCAGAAUUUGGAUUUAUUAUUUGUGCAUUUAUUGCACUCAUUUAUUUACUUUGUGAGUAUAAAGAGCAUUGUUAUUUGUCAUUUUAUGGAUUAUACUGUUACAUGGUGUUGUAUGAUAUAAUGUUUUCACAUAUCAGUAUUGAAAAACUACAAUGCCUAGUAUUCCUUGUGCAAAUAUCUAAUUUGUUCAUCGCUAAGCCCCUUCUAAAUCUGCAAUGCGAUGUUUCAGCAUGCACAUAUGAGUGUGAUGUGGGAUGUGGUAGCUUAGUGGUUAAGGUGUUGGGCUACUGCUCUGAAGGAUGUGAGUUCCAUUUCCAGGUCGGUCCACCAAGCUGCCACUGCUGGGCCCCGGAGAAAGGCCCUUAACCCUCAAUUGCUCAGAUGUAUAAAUGAGAUAAAUUGUAAGGCGCUCUGGAUAAGGAUGUCUGCCAAAUGCCAGAAAUGUAAAUGAUCAUGUCUCCAGAAAUGUAGCUGUACAGGAUCCUGAUGAUGAACCAUUUCUGUGUUAAUGGGAGUGUUUUUUUAUGAUAACUCCAUCAUGUUCAUGCUCACCUCAUCAUCAAAGCAUCACUCGAGGAUUUUGAUGGCCGGUGUUCAUCUCUUUAAUACAGUCCCAGAGACUAAAUACCAUAGUCUGUUGAAGCUGUUCUGGUCGCUUG